rnacentral:rRNA from 1 species
ACGACAACUGACGCUGAGGCGCGAAAGCGUGGGGAGCAAACAGGAUUAGAUACCCUGGUAGUCCACGCCGUAAACGAUGGAUACUAGGUGUGGGGGGACUGACCCCCUCCGUGCCGCAGUAAACACAAUAAGUAUCCCACCUGGGGAGUACGACCGCAAGGUUGAAACUCAAAGGAAUUGACGGGGGCCCGCACAAGCAGUGGAUUAUGUGGUUUAAUUCGACGCAACGCGAAGAACCUUACCGGGAUUUGACAUCCUGCUAACGAAGUAGAGAUACAUUAGGUGCCCUUCGGGGAAAGCAGAGACAGGUGGUGCAUGGUUGUCGUCAGCUCGUGUCGUGAGAUGUUGGGUUAAGUCCCGCAACGAGCGCAACCCUUAUUGUUAGUUGCUACGCAAGAGCACUCUAGCGAGACUGCCGUUGACAAAACGGAGGAAGGCGGGGACGACGUCAAAUCAUCAUGCCCCUUAUGUCCCGGGCUACACACGUAAUACAAUGGCGUUAAACAGAGGGAAGCAAAGCCGCGAGGCAGAGCAAAACCCUAAAAGGCGUCUCAGUUCGGAUCGCAGUCUGCAACUCGACUGCGUGAAGUUGGAAUGCUAG